rnacentral:rRNA from 1 species
CCUACGGGAGGCAGCAGUGGGGAAUAUUGGGCAAUGGGCGCAAGCCUGACCCAGCAACGCCGCGUGAAGGAAGAAGGCUUUCGGGUUGUAAACUUCUUUUGUCAGGGACGAAGCAAGUGACGGUACCUGACGAAUAAGCCACGGCUAACUACGUGCCAGCAGCCGCGGUAAUACGUAGGUGGCAAGCGUUAUCCGGAUUUACUGGGUGUAAAGGGCGUGUAGGCGGGGAAGCAAGUCAGAUGUGAAAACCACGGGCUCAACCUGUGGCCUGCAUUUGAAACUGUUUUUCUUGAGUGCUGGGGAGGCAAUCGGAAUUCCGUGUGUAGCGGUGAAAUGCGUAGAUAGACGGAGGAACACCAGUGGCGAAGGCGGAUUGCUGGACAGUAACUGACGCUGAGGCGCGAAAGCGUGGGGAGCAAACAGGAUUAGAUACCCGAGUAGUC